AUUGAACGCUGGCGGCAUGCUUUACACAUGCAAGUCGAACGGCAGCGCGGGCUUCGGCCUGGCGGCGAGUGGCGAACGGGUGAGUAAUACAUCGGAACGUGCCCAGUAGCGGGGGAUAGCUCGGCGAAAGCCGGAUUCAUACCGCAUACGACCUGAGGGUGAAAGCGGGGGAUCUUCGGACCUCGCGCUAUUGGAGCGGCCGAUGGCCGAUUAGCUAGUUGGUGGGGUAAAGGCCUACCAAGGCGACGAUCUGUAGCUGGUCUGAGAGGACGACCAGCCACACUGGGACUGAGACACGGCCCAGACUCCUACGGGAGGCAGCAGUGGGGAAUUUUGGACAAUGGGCGAAAGCCUGAUCCAGCAAUGCCGCGUGUGUGAUGAAGGCCUUCGGGUUGUAAAGCACUUUUGGCGGGAACGAAAAGGACUGUGCCAAUACCACGGUUCGAUGACGGUACCCGCAGAAUAAGCACCGGCUAACUACGUG
rnacentral:rRNA from 1 species